UAGGGCUAAGGUUUGGGCCAGGGUGAGAGUAUAUGCCUGGUAUCCUACAAUUUAGAGAACUCUCCAGAGGGCUCGAUUUAGCGUUAGUUCAAACAACCAUUUUAAAAGAAUUCAACUGCUUUAGAUAUUUUUGUACUCCUUCCAGCUAAAAGUCAGUCAUAGGACUGGCAGAAUCAAAAGGGGCAGAAAGAAAGCAAAGACACAAGUCAGAAGGUAUUACUGAGUAAUGAAGUCAUCACCAAGACCAAAUAGGUCAGCUUAAUUCCCUCCCCUUGAAUGUGGGCUGGGCUUAGUGACUGGUUCCUGAUGAACAGACUAAGGCAGAAGUGAUGGUGUGUACUGUAGACCUGGUCAUACACAGCACUGUGGCUUUCUCCUUGUCCUCUGCCCGAUCAGCCAUUCUGAGGGAAGUCAGCUGCCUUGUCAUGAGGGCAUUCAAGGAGCCCUAUGGAACAGUGUAUGUGGUGGGGAAUUGAGGUACUCCAGACAACAGCCAUGUGAGUGAGCCACCUUGAAAGUGGCUCAAUCCAGCCCAGUCAAGCAGAUGACUGCAUCCCUGGUCAACAUCUUGACGGCAGCCUCAUGUGAGCCCCUGAGCUAGAACCACUCAGCAAAACCGCUCCUGGAUUCCUGACCUGCAUGAAAUAAUAAAUGUUUGUUGUCCUAA